rnacentral:rRNA from 1 species
UGGGGAAUUUUGGACAAUGGGCGAAAGCCUGAUCCAGCCAUGCCGCGUGAGUGAAGAAGGCCUUCGGGUUGUAAAGCUCUUUUAGUCGGAAAGAAAGAGUCGCAAUGAAUAAUUGUGAUUUAUGACGGUACCGACAGAAAAAGCACCGGCUAACUACGCGCCAGCAGCCGCGGUAAUACGUAGGGUGCGAGCGUUAAUCGGAAUUACUGGGCGUAAAGGGUGCGCAGGCGGUUUUGCAAGUCAGAUGUGAAAGCCCCGGGCUUAACCUGGGAAUUGCGUUUGAAACUACAAGGCUAGAGUGCAGCAGAGGGGAGUGGAAUUCCAUGUGUAGCAGUGAAAUGCGUAGAGAUGUGGAAGAACACCGAUGGCGAAGGCAGCUCCCUGGGUUGACACUGACGCUCAUGCACGAAAGCGUGGGGAGCAAACA